CUCCAACCCGUGGAGUAAUAGAAGUCUACCUAAGACUUAAAAUACCAUGUCUACCAAAGACAUUAUCCUGUGAAAAUCCCCUUUAAAAAUGUAAAUAGUGAAAAACCCCAUUAAAACAAGAAAUGCAAUGUGUGGGAGGAUGGCAGAAGCAGGUAAAGGUCCCCAACCCCCUAAGGACACACGACAGAAAUACUCCGUCAUGAUUCCCUUAAACUCCAGAAGUUGUGUCCCCAAGGGGCUAAAGAUCCUCUUACCUGUAAUCUGAGUUCCCAAUUGCACCCAAACUUCUGACACCAGUUUGUUGGGGAUAAAAUCAGCCCGGGCCCUUUGUGGAUGAUGGAUAUUUGCCAACUCAUACAGAGCUCUGG